AAAAUUGUGUGUUCGGUAUAGAUGAUAUUCACCGAAUUACCGGAUUGCCAAAGGAGGGAAUUCCGAUAAAAAUGAGUGGGGCAGCGGCUAAUACAAUCUACACCUAUUUUGUAAAGAAUUAUAAGAAAGCCGAUGAGGAAAAGAAGGCGGUGAUUUCGGGGAAGCGCGAUAGAAUGGCCGAGAUGAUUGUAGAUAUGAUUAAUGAAGACCCUAUAAUAUGUGUGAAACUUAUUGUGGCUUUCAUUAUCGGCUUCAUAUUAUGCCCGCGGACAUGUAAGACAUGUCCCUUGUGGGCGUUUAGAUAUGCGGAGCAGUUAUCAACUUUGCAUAAAUAUAAUUGGUGCCAUGCGGUGUUCACUCUUCUUUGCAAAGAGAUGAGUAAAUCAAAGAAGUCUCUUAGUAUGCGGGAAUUAGGUCAGCGCUCAAAUGCCGGGUACAUGGGUGGUUUUUCCUCCGUUUUACUGGUGAGUUACAUGAACAUUAUUUUGUAUAUCUUUUCAUUUUGAUAAUGAUUAUUGUUUAUGCACAUGCUAAUGUGUAGUUUCUUUUUUGUAGGUUUGGUUUUAUGAAAAAGUAGGGGAAUUAGAGUACACUUCAGAUAUUGAAAGGUUACCGCCGCUCUUUUGUGUGAAGAGUACUGGAAAGUGGAGGAGGACUACUAUGAACAAAUUAUAUAGAGUCCCGAAGUUGGUUACGGAUAAUGGCCAAGAGAAUACUCCUCUUAUUCAUACGGCAUCGCCAAUAGUAUUUGAAUCAAGGAAAGCUGAAUUAAUUUUCUUAAUUGCGGAGAAGACGUACGAGUUGAAUGAGCUCACUACAGAAUUACGAGAAUUAGAAGAGCGUAGUGCUAGAUGCCAAAAAAAACCAAGGAGAAAGAGGAUGACGGAAAUGUAACUGAAGAAAAAAAAAUCAAAGAGGAUAUGGAAGCUAAGGAAUAUGAGAAUUUGGAAGGAACUGGGGAAGCCGAUUUAUGUGAUGACUUUGUGAUGAGCGCAAGAGACGUGAGAAUUUUAGAAGAUGCUCGAGAUGUUUCUCAAAAAGAUGAAGGUGGUAAUGAGAAUAACAGAGAAACGCCAUCUAUCAAACGGGCUGUCGGAAAGAGGGAGAGGAAGGAUGGACCCUCUGUUACUUCACCUUAUAUGCCUCUAGAUCAACCAAAGGAAGGCACAAAGAAGAGACGUGUCAUCCAGAUAUUGGAUAGUCCUGAUGGGAAAAAAAAGUACAAAAAUGAAGAAGGCUUCAUACCUACAUCUAGAGACUAUCCAGGUAAGGCACUGGCGUUUGAUUAUGAGAACAAAUUAAUUGAAGACUUUCUACAAUCGAGAAUGAACAGUGAUACGUACAUUUGAAAGUGUGCCGAAGCAAGCGUAUCCCGCUUAGAUGCUUAUAUACUAUUAACGGGAGGUGAACUCAGUGACGAUGUGAUCGAUGCAUUUGUUAUUCGGCUUUGUAACAAGAUUGAAACAAGUGAUAGUUAUGAUCGAAAGAUACAUGUCACAAGACCUUGGCUUGCACAAGCAUUUCUAGAAGGAAAUCUUGAAAUGGUGGCAAAACGAAUGAAGGAAAAUGUUUCUCAGCAGAAGUUCUUGGAGUGUGAAAGAAUUCUGAUCCCGAUUGUCAGCUCCGGACAUUGGCACCUGGUAGAGUUAGUGAGAGAGGAGACAAAAUUCUAUCACUACUCCUCAAUCAACUCCCCCAUUUAUACCGCCGA